rnacentral:lncRNA from 1 species
CUCGUUGUGUGGGUCCUCUCAAACCACCUGUUCUUCUCCUGUGGGGGGUGUGAGACAGCAAGGGUGAGCUCACACAUGUUCAUCGCUCAACAAGUUGUGGGGAAUAAUGUGGCAUGAACUCACCAAAGGUGGGAGUUCAUGUGAUGUGUAAAGCUGAUCAACAAUAGGGGUUAAAGCUGAGCAUUGCUUUUAAUAAGUUGGUCAAAUUUUAUUAGCAGUUACUAAGUGUAAGUAAAUACCAAACCAUAAUAAAUAAUAAUAGAACAAAAUUAACAAAUAAUCCCAUGCAAUGCAUAUGACAAAUUGAGUUUAAGUUUCAUAAUUUAAUCAUGCGAGAGUCCUGAGCUGCUCAUGACCGUGAGCUCGGCUAGUAUACCAGUUUUACACUCUGCAGAGGUUGUACCCUGUACCCACAAGUCGUGUAUCCCAUGUCGCCAGGGUUAGCUAGACCCUUAGACACUACUGAGGUGAAUGACUAGGGAUCCACUACGAGGCCUUUACAAAGUUUCACUAGCUUCCGAAAACCCGCUACAGUUUAUGGGAAGAGCACUUGCAAGAAUCCCUCGUCUGACCGCCAUUGCAGCAAAAUCAACCCGAGAACCUCCCUGCAUGCAACUCCCCUACUGCCCUUGCCCCUUUCGGGUAAGGUAGUCUUUCACUAGCUUUCCUAAUUAGUCAGCCAAGGGUGUCCAAUUCCACCCUUGUGGUGGCACGCGUUUCUCAAGUUAAGCUCCAUGUUCCAAUUAAAGAUAAUGAUCUUGACAUGAACAUAAAUAAAAAAAUUGGAACAUGGACAUAAUGUAGUAUUAAUCCCAAAACCAUAUAGAGCAAUAGCAUAACUACCAAAGUGAAUCAGGGGUAAACAAGAUAAAUAGGAUAAACAGACUAGGGUGACCUAUUGGGUCCUAUCAAAAUUAAACCUAUGCAUUGAAUAGUGAUAAUAAAUAAUAUUAUUGGGUAACAAAAGUGGAUCAAGGGCACAACUUGCAUGGCACUUGAGAUUCCAGAUACCAGGAUGAUCUUUAGAUCCUCGUGACCUUACGCUAGUCGUAGCAAUACAAACAAACAUGGUAUGGACAAAAUUAACAUCACACCACAGAUAAGAACAAAAUGUAUAACAAUGAUCUACGCAUUGCUACGAGAUCGUGGGAUCGAGAACUAAUAAGAUCGGAGUCACGAUUAAAGAGUUAUGAUUUUAUAGAAGAUCUAUGUGAUUAAAAUAUUAAACUAUAUUAUAAAUUGGUUAAUAUAAAUCAUAUGAGAUAUUAUUCUAUAAAUAAUUAUCUCAACUUUAAUCUAAGUUAUAAUUUGACCAUAGAUCAUAUUCUAGUAAAUUAUAAUGAUAAGCAGUUUAACAAGACUAACCAGCAUAAGUUAAAUAAAGAUCUAAUCAUAAAAUAAUGAGACAUGGUAUGAUAAAUGUUGUUAUUUCAUAGUAAAUAUUUAUACGAGACUAACACAACUUGAAUGGAUCAAAUCGGAGUUAAAACGAAGAAGUUAUGAAUUUUCGAAGUUCGUGUGUGCUUGCUACAAAUUAAUUGAGUAAUCAAUUCUAGUAUAGAUUUCGUUAAAACAGUGUCACCAAGUAGUAGGCAAUAUUAAUAUAAAAUUAUGGGAACCGGAAUGGAGCAAAAAGGAUUUACUAUGAAUUUUCCAUGAAUUAAAUGAGUUUUGGGACUUAUUCAUGUACAAAAAAGUAUUUCUUAUACUAGUUUUGCUAAUUUCCUGGUUCCCUAGUGUGAGCACGAAUUACAGAGAAACUCGGGGUUAAACCAUAAAAUUCUCCCAGACUCAGUCUAUACCAGUGGUGGACUGCGGGUUAAAUUCUAUUUCACUUGAGGUCUCUUUAGCAAAAGUUCUCGGGCGAAGGGGUAUAGGCUCCUCUGAGCCGUCAGAUGUGAAGCGCACGACCAUGAUUAGAACGCGCUUCACACGAAACGGUACAUCGCUAUAGCCGUAGGAUCUAAAUUCAAUCGUCUAGAUUUUAAUGCUCUGGAAUCGCUCCGUGACCGUCCGAUCUAAGAUCGACGCGCAACCUUACCCCCGUUGAUGUGUUACGCUAUGCAGAUCCGAACCGCAUAAACGCGAUCCAACCGCCCUUAUUUGUUUCUAGGAUGAUCAAAUCCUAGCCACACAUCACUGAAUCAAUGGUCCACGCCUUUCCCCUAUCUCCCCUACGAACGACGAUGGCGCCGCCCAGAGACCACGGUGGCCCAUCGUCGUAACCACACCAAUCGGCGCCAUGGGCGAAAUCCCACUGCCACAAACUUGCCCCACAACGUAGCGGAUAUUAAGAAUGCACUGGCAAGGUACUUACCGACGACCAAGGUAUGGGUGGAGCUUUCUGCGGCGCAGCACGUCAUACGGCGGGGCUGAGUCGAUGACAAGAAAUCCCCGCGCCACCGCCCAUGAAUUGAUGAUUCGUACGCCUUCGACACACAUCGGUGAUACUCCAGAGCACCGAAUUGGAGUUAAGCGCCGACAACAAGGACUGGUCACGGUGCAUGGCCUGUCGGCGUCAAUUUCUUCCUCUCUCUGCUAGAAUGGCGCUCGAGGAGAGGGAUCUGGGCAAUUUGAUUCGGCACGAUAUUGCGUGGGAGGGGAUAAGGAGAAGAGGUCGCGGCCUG